CCCUUAGAUGUUCUGGGCCGCACGCGCGCUACACUGAUGCAUUCAACGAGUUUCUUCCUGGUCCGAGAGGAAUGGGUAACCUUUUGAAAGUGCAUCGUGAUAGGGAUAGACUAUAGCAAUUAUUGGUCUUCAACGAGGAAUUCCUAGUAGACGUAGUUCAUCAGACUGCAUCGAUUACGUCCCUGCCCUUUGUACACACCGCCCGUCGCUCCUACCGAUUGAAUGCUCAGGUGAGCCAUUCGGACUUUCAUCAUGCUGGUUUCCAGUUUUGAUGAAGGAAAGUCUUGCGAACCUUAUCAUUUAGAGGAAGGAGAAGUCGUAACA
rnacentral:rRNA from 1 species